UACAGAGGUCUCAAGCGUUGUUCGGAUUCAUUGGGCGUAAAGGGUGUGUAGGUGGCGCGGUAAGUCGGGUGUGAAAUCUCGGAGCUUAACUCCGAAACUGCAUUCGAUACUGCCGUGCUUGAGGACUGGAGAGGAGACUGGAAUUUACGGUGUAGCGGUGAAAUGCGUAGAUAUCGUAAGGAGGACCAGUGGCGAAGGCGGGUCUCUGGGACGGUACUGACGCUGAGACGCGAAAGCGUGGGGAGCGAACAGG
rnacentral:rRNA from 1 species